CGGGGUGUAGCUCAGCCCGGUUAGAGUGCUUGGUUCGGGACCAAGAGGCCGNNGGCCGGAGGUUCGAAUCCUCUCACCCCGA
rnacentral:tRNA from 1 species